GAUGAACGCUGGCGGCGUGCCUAAUACAUGCAAGUCGAGCGAACAGACGAGGAGCUUGCUCCUCUGACGUUAGCGGCGGACGGGUGAGUAACACGUGGAUAACCUACCUAUAAGACUGGGAUAACUUCGGGAAACCGGAGCUAAUACCGGAUAAUAUAUUGAACCGCAUGGUUCAAUAGUGAAAGACGGUUUUGCUGUCCCUUAUAGAUGGAUCCGCGCCGCAUUAGCUAGUUGGUAAGGUAACGGCUUACCAAGGCAACGAUGCGUAGCCGACCUGAGAGGGUGGUCGGCCACACUGGAACUGAGACACGGUCCAGACUCCUACGGGAGGCAGCAGUAGGGAAUCUUCCGCAAUGGGCGAAAGCCUGACGGAGCAACGCCGCGUGAGUGAUGAAGGUCUUCGGAUCGUAAAACUCUGUUAUUAGGGAAGAACAAAUGUGUAAGUAACUAUGCACGUCUUGACGGUACCUAAUCAGAAAGCCACGGCUAACUACGUG
rnacentral:rRNA from 1 species